UACGUAGGGUGCGAGCGUUGUCCGGAAUUAUUGGGCGUAAAGCGUGCGCAGGCGGUUUUGUAAGUCUGUCGUGAAAGCCCCGGGCUCAACCUGGGAAUUGCGAUGGAGACUGCAAGGCUUGAAUCUGGCAGAGGGGGGGUAGAAUUCCACGUGUAGCAGUGAAAUGCGUAGAGAUGUGGAGGAACACCGAUGGCGAAGGCAGCCCCCUGGGUCAAGAUUGACGCUCAUGCACGAAAGCGUGGGGAGCAAACAGG
rnacentral:rRNA from 1 species